AUCCCGUACGAUCAUCGAAAUUAAGCAAUGUCGAGACUGGUCAGUACGUAGAUGAGUGACCGCUUGGGAAUACCAGGUGUUGUAUG